rnacentral:rRNA from 1 species
AUUCCGCUAAAAGAUAACUUUGUUUAAGAUUAGGUUGUUGGUACUUUAAAAGACUACCAAGCCAUCGAUCUUUAGUUGGUCUUAUGAGGAUGAUCAACCACACUGGAACUGAAAUAAGGUCCAGGCUGACACGUCGGCCAGCAGUGAGGAAUAUUGGACAAUGAACGAAAGUUUGAUCCAGCAAUACUAUAUGGAUGAUGACGGCUU